CGCGAAGAACCUUACCUVCUCUUGACAUCCACAGAAUUUGCUAGAGAUAGCNNNGUGCCUUCGGGAACUGUGAGACAGGUGCUGCAUGGCUGUCGUCAGCUCGUGUUGUGAAAUGUUGGGUUAAGUCCCGCAACGAGCGCAACCCUKAUCCUUAUUUGCAGNNNUAAGUGGGAACUUUAGGGAGACUGCNNNUGAUAAACCKGAGGAAGGUGGGNACGACGUCAAGUCAUCAUGNCCUUACGAGUAGGGCUACACACGUGCUACAAUGGUCGGUACAGAGGGUCGCAACGCCGCGAGGUCAAGCUAAUCCCACDAAGCCNGUNGUAGUCCGGAUCGGAGUCUGCAACUCGACUCCGUGAAGUCGGAAUCGCUAGUAAUCGUGAAUCAGAAUGUCACGG
rnacentral:rRNA from 1 species